ensembl:lncRNA
UGUGUUAGUUGCAGCACCCCCUUAUGGACAAAAAGUCAUGACAUUUGGCUUACAUCCAAAGAACGUGGUAGUGAAUAAUUCAUUAAUUUAAGUUAUUUGGUCAUUAGGUCCAAUCACGCAGGGCUAUAGCCCCUAAUAUAGCCCUGAAUAUUUUUACCCUGAAAAUGGAGGUGUGAAUAGCAGAACGGGUAACAGAGUUGAACUUGACUUGCGAUGUCCAAGGAGAGGGGAGUAAUCAAGUGCUGCACACAAAGCUGGAGGAAGUGCACACUCAGAUGAAAAGCUCUUGUUAAAAAAAAAAAUGGGUAUUUCAAGAGGCUGGAAGAAGUGCAGACUGAAAUGAAAAUGAAAAGAAAACUCAUAAAUUAUGUAGCAUGGGUAUUAUACCAUGUAUCAAAUUAUAUUGAUGCCAAAGAAAUUACACGACUAUACAGCAACCCAAUCUAGAUAGCCAUUACACCAAUAAUAAGCCUAUGGUGAACUGACGGCCGUCUGUUGUGUAAAAAAAAAGUAAAAAGUGAAAAGUCAGGCUGGGUCAAGGUAUGCCAGGCCACUAGGAACCAGACAAACAGACACAGCUUCUGCCUGUGGUAUUAGUCUCCUUUUGUCCAUUAAUGUGCUAUUUGUUGGCAAUUCAAAUCCAUUAAUAUAGCUUAUUGCAUCAUGUGUUGAUGUGGUGUGACUCCUGUAGGCAAUCUACAGGUAUUAAAUAUGUCAAAUAAGCACAGGGUAGAUAGACAGUGAGUUGCUUCUUGCUGUGCGCGCUGCACACGUCAGGGAGUUUCAUGAUCCAUCCAUGCUCACUCUCUCACUCAGUGCAGAAUGCAGUACGAGUAAUUGUCACUUCUUCUUCAUAUUUACAUGUGGACAAAUAAAUAGUAUCUAUUUGGUGUUAAUGUGAAUCGGGUUUUUUUUUCAGACCCUUAUUUGCAUGAUUUUAAUAACUUCUGAUUAGAUGAUUAAUGCAUCUUUAUAUACUUAUGGGUUUGGACACUUAGAAAACAGGCCAAAGGCAGCAACCUUACAUUUAGCUACUUUAUAAUAAAGGUCCAGCAAAGAAUGAUUCACAUUAAAACAAAAUAAAUGUACUAUUCAUUAAUGCAGAGGUAGAAGAGGAAGAGAAAAGAAUAAAGUUGUGAUCAUUAAGUAAAAUUAUGAAUUCUCUGCAAGUAAGGGUCUAUGAUUACAUGCAAUUACAUAUAUAACUAUCUUAAUUGAUUUAUUUAUUCAUUAUUGAUAGAUCACUUCCAAUAAUGACAAGAACAGUAUUUAGUAAUACCAAUGAGCUACAUUUAUAAUUAUUACAAAAUCAUCAACAAACUAUUUGGCAAUGACAAACUAUUUGUAAAUGGCAAAAAUGCAAAUGAAAUGAAACUGUACAGUAUUUGCUCUCUUGAACCUUGAUCAAUAGGACUUAAAGAUGCAACUACAGACCUGUCAUUAACACCACUUCAUGAGACAUCACACAAUGGUAUCUAAUAUAUUUAAGGUCAUAUUAAGGAACAUUUCAGCAGUGUUAACUGUUGACUAGCUGUGAAGAUUCACGCUGGUUAAUAGUCUGGAAAUUAAGGUGAUAAAAUGUUUUUAAAAUUCUCUUGCCAAGCUUUGCUCUGUGUAUUUUCCCCACUCCCCUCCUCUUUUCCCUAUCUCAUGAUACCUUUCAUUAUAUCAAUUAUUUGUGCAUCUCGCUUAUUUAUUUCAGGGUCACGGAGAACAGUGUUGAUCUUGGCGGUGACUAGCCUGUGCAUUGUCCUGACUGGCGUGUCAGCACUCUGUCUCAUCUGGACAUGUCGUAUGUGAUGAUCAUGACAUUUCAUUCAUAGAAUAGCUCUAGGAAAAAUUUGCUUUAUGUUUUAUAGGCACCUGGUUUUGUUAUCAUCUUGAAAUUCAUUUUGAUGCAUUGUGGUCAUAUGACGGACAGGUAAAGACUCCUGUCAUUUGCACUAGUCUAGAAGCCUAGGCUAUGCACUGUGUGGUUUGAUUAACAUUGCCAACUAUAUCUCCAAAGGUCACCAGCUGGCACAUUAGCAAGCUUUUAUUGGUCAGAUGUGCUGUUGUUAGUGUUUACAAGGUUUUUGCAUGUCUCAGGAGUUUUAGACCAAAACAGAGACAGAGUAAGAUCCUAUAUGUUUUCACACUCACCUUAUGUGUAGCCUAUGUACUGGGAGGAACAUGUUAAUUUACAGACUAUUUUAUUUGUGCUUCAGAGAAUCCCCCGGACAUUAUGCCUGCACAUAGUACAAUUACAACUGUUGUAACCUACACCAUGAUCACCUCAACACCCCUGACUGUAGCUCCAGGUAAAACAAGAUUAUUUUCAUUUAUUUUCAUUUACAAAGAAGAGUUCUACUAACCUGAGGUCUGUAUUACUUGGCACAUCUUGAAGACAUCCUGAUUAAAAUUACACAGUGUAUGUUUGCAGAAGUCAGGAGUAAGUGUGGAGAAGUAUUUAAUAAGAUGCAAAAUAUGAUCAAUCCUCCAUUGAUGCUCAUUCUCAUAUGUUGUCUCUGCCACACACACACUCACACAAAACCCUCUAAAAUAUGCAGAUUUCCUCUUACAGUAUGAAGAAGCUAGUACCAUGCAUAUGACAAUUACAGUUUGACUCUGUUCAUUAAAUCUUUCAGAUGUUGACAAAAUGGAAGACAUUUUCUCUGAACAGGAUGAUGUGAGUGCACUAUGUGCAAAGUACUGUGCUAUGGAUGUAUAGCGAAAAUCAAUAGCUUUUCAUUCAGAUUAAUUUAUGGGGCCUUCAGAUAUGUUAAGCUGUGUUUAUCGCUACUGCUGUUGUUCAGUAUUGAUAUGAUGGUUGUAGUGUACCCUGUUGUGUUAUAAUCCUUAAGCAAAGUUGUUGGCUACGAGUACUUGGAUGGAUAAUGAGAGGUUUAGCUGCUGUGGGAAGUCCCCAACCAAUAGCACAAGCAAACCAGUAUAAUACAGUUACAUACAUCUUGGUGCAGGACCACAGGAGCCCUGUUGUCACACAACAGGACAUGACCUACAACCUUAUGCAGAUGCACUGAUACAGAUGCACAUACUGUGUAACUGGAUAUUAUCUAAAUAUAAACUGUUAACAAAUGAUUAUUUUAAAAUGUAUGUGGUUUCAGCAUUGGUUAACACACAGCAUUUAUUAUGAUUUAAAAUGCUUGUGUUGUGUUUAUAUAGUGUUUGUUUAUAGUAUGUGUAGUGUAUAAAGUAUAGCAUAUAUAGUGUUUUGGAUGCCUGCAUAUAAAGAAAAUAACUACAAUGACUAUGGUCUAUUGAGGGUUUAAUGGACACCUUAUCCAGUGAAAUUUCUGUUGUAUUUUAGCUACAAUGUAAAGAUUUCAGGAGGCAAGUUGAAUACCGGUUUGCGGGAUAUAGGCAGAUUUACUAACGGUAAAUACAUUCUUAAAUAAGCCACGGCCACAUAUGCAUGUCCCAAAAUUGCCCAAAAUUACUGUCUCUAUGAGUCCGUCUGCCAAUUAGUUGAGUAUUUUCAUCAAAUGUUACAUCAUUAGGCUAGUUAUUAUUGUUAGACUUUUAGAUAAGAAAUGUAAACUUUGGAAUGUAUUAUUUAUUUAGAAAUCCAGAUAAUGUUGCUUGGUUCUCUGUAUGUCUUAAUAAAAUGAAAUAAAAUAAAAAAAAUAAAAUCUGAAUAAAAUGGUUAUUUAAAGUGGUACUGUAAGUGUGCCGCCUCCGUCUGAAUGAACAAAAGCC